rnacentral:rRNA from 1 species
GAGGGUGCGAGCGUUAAUCGGAAUUACUGGGCGUAAAGCGUGCGUAGACGGUUAUGUAAGUUAGGUGUGAAAGCCCCGGGCUCAACCUGGGAAUUGCAUUUAAGACUGCAUAGCUAGGGUGCGGAAGAGGGAAGCGGAAUUUCCGGUGUAGCGGUGAAAUGCGUAGAUAUCGGAAGGAACACCAGUGGCGAAAGCGGCUUCCUGGUCCAGCACCGACGUUCAGGCACGAAAGCGUGGGGAGCAAACAGGAUUAGAUGCCCUGGUAGUCCACGCCAUAAACGAUGAGGACUAGACGUUGAGAGGGUAAGCCUCCCAGUGUCGCAGCUAACGCGAUAAGUCCUCCGCCUGGGGAGUACGGCCGCAAGGUUG